UUUUCAUUCACUAUUUCAAUAAUAUAUUCCAGAGCUACCGUUUCCGUCUCGAAUUAUUUAAAUUCUCGAUUAUCGUCCCGAUACGAACCCCGUACUUUUUCUUCAAGUACCGACCAUCCCUCGCUGAGGGACGCAAGUAAGGGGGAAAUUUUCCUGUCUUUACGAAGGCCAAAGAGAGACCUAUCGCUCCGCAUUUUGUACCUGUCGUCUCCGCCGCCUCCUCCUAUCAG